rnacentral:rRNA from 1 species
GGGAUGACACAGUAGGAUAAGCUAAGCACACUGUUGGUUAUGUGUGCCCAAGCAUUGAGGCAGUCAAAGUAGGCAAAUCCGCUUUGAUAAUGCUGGGAUGUGAUGGGGAGCGAAAUUUAGUAGCGAAGUAGCUGAUUUCACACUGUCAAGAAAAGUCUCUAUCGAGGUUAAAGGUACCCGUACCGCAAACCGACACAGGUGGGUGAGGAGAGUAUCCUAAGGCCAGCGAGAGAACUGUUGUUAAGGAACUCGGCAAAAUGACCCCGUAACUUAGGGAUAAGGGGUGCCACCAUCAGGUGGCCGCAGAGAAUAGGCCCAAGCGACUGUUUACCAAAAACAUAGGUUUCUGCUAAGUCGCAAGACGAUGUAUAGGAGCUGACGCCUGCCCGGUGCUGGAAGGUUAAGGGGAUCUGUUAGAGCAAUCGAAGCAGUGAACUUAAGCCCCAGUAAACGGCGGCCGUAACUAUAACGGUCCUAAGGUAGCGAAAUUCCUUGUCGGGUAAGUUCCGACCCGCACGAAAGGCGUAACGAUUUGGGCACUGUC